rnacentral:rRNA from 1 species
CGGGGUGAGUAACGCGUGGGCAACCUGCCUUAUACAGGGGGAUAACAGCUGGAAACAGCUGCUAAUACCGCAUAAGCGCACAGUGCUGCAUGGUACAGUGUGAAAAACUGAGGUGGUAUAAGAUGGGCCCGCGUCUGAUUAGCUGGUUGGGAGGGUAACGGCCUACCAAGGCGACGAUCAGUAGCCGGCCUGAGAGGGUGGACGGCCACAUUGGGACUGAGACACGGCCCAAACUCCUACGGAAGGCAGCAG